CAGCCGCCGCGGUAACACGGAGGGUGCAAGCGUUAAUCGGAAUUACUGGGCGUAAAGCGCACGCAGGCGGUUUGCUAAGUCAGAUGUGAAAUCCCCGAGCUUAACUUGGGAACUGCAUUUGAAACUGGCAAGCUAGAGUCUUGUAGAGGGGGGUAGAAUUCCAGGUGUAGCGGUGAAAUGCGUAGAGAUCUGGAGGAAUACCGGUGGCGAAGGCGGCCCCCUGGACAAAGACUGACGCUCAGGUGCGAAAGCGUGGGGAGCAAACAGGAUUAGAUACCCGCGUAGUCCCUGUCUCUUAUAC
rnacentral:rRNA from 1 species